GUCCAUGUGCAGUGGCAGUAUCGUAGCCAAUGAGGUUUAUCCGAGGCGCGAUUAUUGCUAAUUGAAAAGACAAGAUGUG
rnacentral:snRNA from 1 species